AAUAUAUGUUAAAGGAGGAGGUUUGUGCUCUAGAACUUGUCUUAUUGGAGCAGCUGGUAUAACUGGAAGAAGUAAAGCUAUUUCUUCUACGUACAAACCUUGUCUUGGUAUGUUUCUUUCAAAUCAUAUGUGAAAUAGUCUAGAGUAAACAUAAGGAAGGAUUUCAAGUUGACUAACUUGCACCACAGUGGGUUUUCACUGAGCUGCUGUUCAGGGCCUCUUGUUAUGAGGUAGAUUUUUUUAUUAUUGUUUUGUUUUGUUUUUUUCUCCCUCCUUCGCAUGAAGGAGCUAGAGGCAAUGACCCUAUGUUGCAAUGAUUUGGUAGUUCCUUUGCUCAUAGCGAUAGUUCCCUAAUCAUCAAUGCAGCAAAAGUUAUUUCAUAUUUUUUGAACUUAUUAUAAUUUUCCCUUUUAGUGUUAAACUUUUAAAAUGAAAAGGUGAUAAUCUGUAAAGAAACAUUUGCUACAGAAAUAGGAUUGCACAUUAAGUAUCAACUGUGGAAUUGUACAUCCUGUCCUCAGAAGUAACUUCUUGCAUGCUCGUUAUACUAAAAUAAAGUUUUAUCUUUCAGAGUUGGAGAAUCAACUCAGCCUGUUGACUUCACUGUCAUCAGCUAGAAGAUCUUCAUGUAACUGGCUGAAAAAUGGUUCUACAAGAUGACAGCCCCAACUCUAACACAGUUAAAAUGGAGAUUGUCUUCACUUUGACAUGAGGUGUGAAGUUUGCUAGAUUUUUUUUUUGUUUUGAAAUUAUUGUGGAAGGUAUGUAUAAGAAAAAUAAGUCCUGUUCCUUCUAUGUUCAUUUUUAUCAGAGCAUAUUGCUAUCAAUGUGCAGGAGCCAUAUAUAAAGAACUGUGGGGUUUAUUUUGUUACAAGUUAAUUAU
rnacentral:lncRNA from 1 species